rnacentral:rRNA from 1 species
CCUACGGGUGGCAGCAGUGAGGAAUAUUGGUCAAUGGGCGUAAGCCUGAACCAGCCAAGUCGCGUGAGGGAUGAAGGUUCUAUGGAUCGUAAACCUCUUUUAUAAGGGAAUAAAGUGUGGGACGUGUCCUGUUUUGUAUGUACCUUAUGAAUAAGGAUCGGCUAACUCCGUGCCAGCAGCCGCGGUAAUACGGAGGAUCCGAGCGUUAUCCGGAUUUAUUGGGUUUAAAGGGUGCGUAGGCGGCCUUUUAAGUCAGCGGUGAAAGUCUGUGGCUCAACCAUAGAAUUGCCGUUGAAACUGGGAGGCUUGAGUAUGGUUGAGGCAGGCGGAAUGUGAGGUGUAGCGGUGAAAUGCGUAGAUAUGACGCAGAACCCCGAUUGCGAAGGCAGCCUGCCAAGCCAUGACUGACGCUGAUGCACGAAAGCGUGGGGAUCAAACAGGAUUAGAUACCCCUGUAGUC